rnacentral:rRNA from 1 species
UCGUGAGUUCGAUGAGUAGGGCGGGACACGUGACAUCCUGUCUGAAUAUGGGGGGACCAUCCUCCAAGGCUAAAUACUCCUGACUGACCGAUAGUGAACCAGUACCGUGAGGGAAAGGCGAAAAGAACCCCGGCGAGGGGAGUGAAAUAGAACCUGAAACCGUGUACGUACAAGCAGUGGGAGCACCUUCGUGGUGUGACUGCGUACCUUUUGUAUAAUGGGUCAGCGACUUAUAUUUUGUAGCAAGGUUAACCGUAUAGGGGAGCCGUAGGGAAACCGAGUCUUAACUGGGCGAAUAGUUGCAAGGUAUAGACCCGAAACCCGGUGAUCUAGCCAUGGGCAGGUUGAAGGUUGGGUAACACUAACUGGAGGACCGAACCGACUAAUGUUGAAAAAUUAGCGGAUGACUUGUGGCUGGGGGUGAAAGGCCAAUCAAACCGGGAGAUAGCUGGUUCUCCCCGAAAGCUAUUUAGGUAGCGCCUCGUGAACUCAUCUUCGGGGGUAGAGCACUGUUUCGGCUAGGGGGCCAUCCCGGCUUACCAAACCGAUGCAAACUCCGAAUACCGAAGAAUGUUAUCACGGGAGACACACGGCGGGUGCUAACGUCCGUCGUGAAGAGGGAAACAACCCAGACCGCCAGCUAAGGUCCCAAAGUCAUGGUUAAGU